UCCUUCGGGUGAAGUGAGGCAAUGACUAGAGUGGCGAACUGGUGAGUAACACGUAAGAAACCUGCCCUUUAGUGGGGGAUAACAUUUGGAAACAGAUGCUAAUACCGCGUAACAACAAAUCACACAUGUGAUCUGUUUGAAAGGUCCUUUUGGAUCGCUAGAGGAUGGUCUUGCGGCGUAUUAGCUUGUUGGUAGGGUAGAAGCCUACCAAGGCAAUGAUGCGUAGCCGAGUUGAGAGACUGGCCGGCCACAUUGGGACUGAGACACUGCCCAAACUCCUACGGGAGGCUGCAGUAGGGAAUUUUCC
rnacentral:rRNA from 1 species